GUUUUCAUUUCGAGCUUGUUGUCUGCCGCAGAUUUAGGUCAAGAUGUCUUCUCAAGAUUCAGAAGAAGAGAUCUAUGUGGCCAAUGAUCGUGCUAACUCUAGGAUUAAUGGGGACUUGGAACUAUAUGGCUGGACCACUGAUGAGGAAGAAGACUAUGAGCCCAAAGGGAAGGAACAAACGAGUUCCGAUGAAGAGGAGGCUCCUCUACCUCAACCUGCAAACACCCAUGUGGAGUUCAAGAAGUCAAG
rnacentral:lncRNA from 1 species